rnacentral:rRNA from 1 species
UACGUAGGGUGCAAGCGUUGUCCGGAAUUAUUGGGCGUAAAGAGCUCGUAGGCGGCUUGUCACGUCGGGUGUGAAAGCCCCGGGGCUUAACCCCGGGUCUGCAUUCGAUACGGGCAGGCUAGAGUGUGGUAGGGGAGGAUCGGAAUUCCUGGUGUAGCGGUGAAAUGCGCAGAUAUCAGGAAGAACACCCGUGGCGAAGGCGGCUUGCUGGGCUUGGUCUGACGCUGAGGCGCGAAAGCGUGGGUAGCAAACAGG